UUCUGGCCCGAGUUGAGAACCACUGAUCCAUACCCAAGAAAAAAAAAAUUAAGAGUAGGCGUGGACCAUCGGCUCGGUUGUGAUUCAAGUUCGUUACAGCAAACUGGUUGCACAGUGGACCUUAUUUGGUUAGGUAGCCGCACUUGGUUAAGAGCUGUUCUGAGAAAUACUACGGGGACACCAGUGGCGUAAUACAUAGCUUCAUUUUUACAAGGAUUGAAGGAUUACCAGCAUUCACAUCUUUGGAAAAGAGGACCCAACAGGCGCUGAUGUACUGUGUGCAAGAACAAGCCAGAGUGCCACUGACUGGGGUGUUUCCUGGAGUUGGAGGGUUUGUGGGAGUGUACUGUGUUACCUCAGGAUGCCUGGCACCUCCCCCUCUUCGCACUUGCGCUUCCCUAUCACGUCUCCUGUCUGUUCUGGUGGAAUGACCUUCCCGUGGAGGUCAGAACAGCUGAGACCCUGACCACCUUCAAGCGACUGAAGACUCACCUCUUCAGGCUGCACCUCUCCCCAUCCCUCCCUACCUCCCUGUAAUCUCUAACUUGACUGUAAGUUUAGGGUUGUAACUAGGUAGCUGUUUCUUAGUUGACUUAGUUAAUGCACUCGUGUCUUAACUAAUGCUUGUAUUUUUAGCAUAGACUGCAUUGCUGCUGUUCUUGUUUGUGUUAGUGUUAAUCAGAUUAACCUACAGGGUCCAAUUAAACUAUGCGGUUGU